GACGGUAGUAAGAAGUUGGCCGGAGCUUCUCGAUGUGAACCUGAGGAAGGAUCUGCAUUGGGAGCACGAUGGGGAUCUGAGUUAUUAGGACGACAUCGGACAGAGCUGCAAGUGUAGUGGUCGGAGUUGCAGAGCUACAGGUUUGUAGAACGAUGUUGGCCGGGAUCUCUCGGCUAAGGACUGAUGAAGGCAGGGUCGUUGUUGGAUGGACGGAGUUGCAAGGAGAUGGGUUGGCGAAGAUUAGAGGUGGUGUAGUGGUGGAACGGGUGUACUCGACCGAUGGCCGGAGAUGGGUUGCGAGUGGAUGUUGCGGUCUUGCGGAGAUGGAUGCGGUGGUCUAGAGAUGAUGGCGGUGAAAUUUCUAGUAAAAAUAUUUCUUAUUAAUUUAAAGGAAGUUACAUGUUAUAUAUAUACUAAACAUAAGGCGGUUUGGAUAGAUUGGGAAAUUGCAAAAUUUAAGGCGGUUGGUGAUUUUAGAGAAUUUAGAAAAAUACCCCUUGGGUAGUUGGUAUUGGUGUUUUCCCCAUCCAUUGUUCGGAAUCACGUCUUGGGUCCGCUUAAGUCAUAAUCCUUUGUCCACCUGGGCACGACCUGAGCUCGCUUGUUGGUUCGUGUCAAUCCCGCUUCCCUCUCGUCCGUGCUCUCUUCCAUUAUCUCGUUGUUGGCUUCUAGCAUUCCUCCUGUGAACAUCGUAAUCUCCUCGUCUGUGAAAGUAGCUCCAGUCGGUUGUGUAUCAUCAUCCUCCCCUUCAAGAGCAACCUUGUCCUCAAGGUUGAUAGUCGGCCAUGUCUAUCGUAGACUCUCGGCGUUCUCCCAGGUAGAGUCUUCUGGCGAAGCACACCUCCCCAUUGGAUUAGUAAUUGCCUUUGAUUCUUGGCUCCCUGCAGAAUCGUGCGCGCGUCUAGCACGGCCAAUGGGUAUAAGAUUGGUUGGUUUUCUACUGAUAUCAAGGGUGAUUGUGGGCUGUUCGAUUCUAUGUUGCCCUUGAACCUCUUUAAACGGGAAAUGUGGAAUGUGGGGUGUAUCCGGCUACCCACAGGUAAUUCUAAUGUGUAUGCUGUACUACUGAUUUUUUUUUGCAAUUUUGUAUGGGCCAUAGAAUCUCUGGCUUAGCUUGAAAUUGUACCUGUGUGCAAGUGAUUGUUGCCUAUAAGGUUGUAAUUUGACUAGUACCCAAUCCCCUACAGAGAAUUCAGAUGCAAACCUGUGUUUGUCUGCUUGGUCUUUCUGGAAAUUAGCAGACAGAUUUCUGAAAUUUCAAAAAGACACAAAGAAAAGCCUCCGAGUGAUGUUGACAAAGGCGCUGUGGGAGCUAAUUACCCAAAGCCUCUACCGAAGCAUCCAUUCUAUCAGUCGAUAGUCGACCUUGACAACCCGAUCUAUGCUUCAUCUUUGCUUGAGGAUGAAAACUAUACACCUGCUAAAUAUCUGAAAGUGGACAUGCCAAGAUUUGACGGCACAGACGCAGAACAUUGGCUCUUUGCAGUCAGGAGGUAUUUUAUCUUUCAUAAAGUUCCUGAAGAUCAAAAACUGUUAAUCGUUUCUUUUCACUUGGAUGGGAUUGCUAGAAGUUGGUUCGUAUGGCUCGAGGCAAAUAAUUUAUUAUCUACAUGGAAAAAUUUGGUGACGCCGUGCUAAAAUAAUUCACAAAUCUCUCAUUGAGAGCACCAAUGAUACAACCCUAAUCACUUACAGGUUGAUCGACGGUCAUUCGGGGUUCGCCGGAGCGACAGAUCGGCGACACGAAGUUUGCCGGAGUUGCUGGACGGCAAUAAGAAGUUGGCCGGAGGUUCUCGAUAUGAACCAGAAGAGGAAGGAUCUGCAUUGGGAGCACGAUGGGGAUCUGAGUUAUUAGGACGACGCCGGACAGAGUUGCAGGUGUAAUGGUCGGAGUUGCAGGUGUAAUGGUCGGAAUUGCAGAGCUGCAGGUUUGUAAAACGAUGUUGACCGGGAUCUCUCGGCUAAGGACCGAUGAAGGCAGGGUCGUUGUUGGAUGGACGGAGUUGCAAGGAGAUGGGUUGGCGGAGAUUAGAGGUGGUGUAAUGGUGGAACGGGUGUACUCGACCGAUGGCCGGAGAUGGGUUGCGAGUGGAUGUUGCGGUCUUGCGGAGAUGGAUGCGAUAGUCUAGAGAUGAUGGCGGUGAAAUUUCUCGUAAAAAUAUUUCUUAUUAAUUUAAAGGAGGUUACAUGUUAUAUAUAUACUAAACAUAAGGUGGUUUGGAUAGAUUGGGAAAUCGCAAAAUUUAAGGCGGUUGGUGAUUUUAGAGAAUUUAGAAAAAUACCCCUUGGGUAGUUGGUAUUGGUGUUUUUCUCAUCCAUUGUUCGGAAUCACGCCUUGGGUCCGCUUAAGUCAUAAUCCUUUGUCCAC
rnacentral:lncRNA from 1 species